AGGAAAUUCUGCCAACAAGAGGUCAAGCAAAAGUUUCGAGAGCAAAGAGCAUCACAGGGAGACCAGAAUUGAAUGCCGUAUUCCAGAAGUGGCCUCACCAAUGUCCUGUACAGCUGGAACAUGACAUCUCAACUCCUAUACUCAAUGCACUGACUAAUGAAGGCAAACAUGCCAAACGCCUUCUUCACCACUCUGUCUAUCUGUGACUCAAAUUUCAAGGAGGUACAUAUAUUGAAAGAACACCACUUUCCUCCUUGGAUGUUGCAAUGGAAUAUUACUGUCCUUUGGGAUGAGGUAGUAGGUUGUAUAGUUUUAGGGUUACACCCUUCCAGUCAGAUAACUAUACAAUCUACUGUCUUUCCUGAGGUGGCUGUCAAAACUCCGAUGGAUCAGCUGAAAACUACACAAUUGUUUUAGUUAUCUGGAUUUUGAAUUAUUUUGAAAACAAAAGAAUGAUUUAAGUUCUGCUAUCAAACAAAGAUCUUACAAUAAGUAUGAUUUAAUGAAUGUAGCUCUUUUUUGGUUUUCAGGUAAUAGUUAAUGAUGGAUGUGGAAGGUAGUGACUUAGUAAUGUACUCACAUGAUUUAUGUAUCAAAAAACUACAGCAGAGAUUAAUAUUUCCAGAAUUUGAUCUAUCUGCAUGUUAUAUUAAUCCUAUAAUUAUCAACACUUCUCUGAUUCUUUGCAAUUGGAAAUAUGAAUGAAAUCUUCAUUAGCAUUUGAAUCCAGACUAAUACCUAAUCAUGCCUAAUAAUAUAACUAGUAAUGGUUGGUUGCUCAGUUUUUUUGGCCCCUAAAAAGGCAGUAAGGGUAAGUAUUUUUUUUUUAAAAACCAUACCCUUCCCUGAAGCCAAGUGAGGAAAAAAUUGCUCCUCCAGGGUCCUAUACUUCUGAGAGUUGCUGCUAGUAUAUGAUCACCAACUCAUGUUUUCCUUCCUCUCCACAGAAAUCAGCUGAGACAAAUUUUCAUCCUUCAGUUUAGAUCUUAUCGGAGGGCAACUAAUAUGUUGAUGCAUCUAAGUUUUCCUAAAUGUUACAUGUAAAAUACAAUGCAACUUUUUAAUUUACUGUA